rnacentral:rRNA from 1 species
CAGUCGCCACGGGAAUACAGAGGGUGCGAGCGUUAAUCGGAUUUACUGGGCGUAAAGCGUGCGUAGGCGGCUUUUUAAGUCGGAUGUGAAAUCCCUGAGCUUAACUUAGGAAUUGCAUUCGAUACUGGGAAGCUAGAGUAUGGGAGAGGAUGGUAGAAUUCCAGGUGUAGCGGUGAAAUGCGUAGAGAUCUGGAGGAAUACCGAUGGCGAAGGCAGCCAUCUGGCCUAAUACUGACGCUGAGGUACGAAAGCAUGGUGAGCAAACAGGAUUAGAUACCCCAGUAGUCCCUGUCUCUUAUAC